rnacentral:lncRNA from 1 species
AAAUUACUUUACUUUUACAGGUAUAUCUUAGAAUUUGAUUCUAGCAAUCAAGUAAUUGGCCAAAUACUUCAAACUGGACCAAGGUGACAAAAUACCGUUAAAGAUCAGUUCACUAGUAGUAAUGGAAGACAAAUCCAAGCUAGGUCUAACACUCCGGACGACUGAUACUCAAAGAGAACUUGUGAAGGUUUUGUUCAGAUCUUAAAGGUCUUGGCAAUUAAGUUAUUAUUGGCAAAGAAGAACAGAUUUAAUGCAGAACCAAGAAGAAGAUCCAUAUAAUUCCAGUGAACAUCUGACCAAAAGUACCUUAAUAAGUUUGCGGAUUAGCGAGUGAACUUUUAGUAAUAGAGAGACCCUGCAAAAAAGGAAAUGUACAAUUAACAAAGAUGGCAACCUUACAGUUAAAAAGUUAUCCACUAUGCUCCUCAUUACUAUAGGCUUAUACCACAUCAGACAGUCAUACUGUCGUACCUAACAAACAAAAUAUUGGCCGGACGUUGCAACAAAAUAUGCCCACAGCCACAGGGUGUGGGCAGUUGCUCCCAAUCCUAACGUCCCUUUACUUAUAUUAUAAAAACUAGUUAAAAUUCUAGUAUUAUUUUUCUAUAUUUUGUCCCCACUUGAAAUUGAAAAAUAAAAUAAAAUGUGUGUAGCAUCUUUAUCAAUAUUGAAAAGGAGAAAGGUAUAAUUACAACAAAAACAAAUGAUUUAUUUUGCAAAAUAAUAAAGUAUAUUAUAUAAAUAUAGGAUUUUAUGAUUAAUUUACUUAUUGAUAUAAGUUCCACUAAAAUUUUAAAAUAUUCAAGUGAUUAAUUGGUUUCUUUAUAUCUUUUGUAGUUUGUCAUUAUGGUAAAGUAUUUUUUUCAUUUGAAUUUUUUUUCUACGGAUAAAUUAAUUUGGUAUAUGUAGAGAAAUGCCAAAUAAUACUUUGAAAAAAAAUAUAUUUACUUUGAAGGAGAAUUCAUAAGGGAAUGAUUAUUUGGUUAUGUAGGUAUAAAAAAAAAAGUUUUGCAGUAUUGAUAAUUAAAAAAAAUUUAAAACACUUCCAAAUUAUAAAAAGAUAAUUAUAAUAAUAUGUUAUCAUAAAAUAAAAAAUUGAAAACAAAGUGUUUUUUGUUGCACUUUAAAUAAUAAUAAUAAUAGAAUACAAUAUAGUAUAAUAAAAAAUAAAAUUGGCUGCAUAGAAGGAAAAUUUUGGAUUCGUGAGCUUGAAGCAAUCGGAAUCAAAUAUAUAGAGUGGAAGAAGUACGAUAAUUUAUUGCAUGAGUUCAACUGACAAACAAUAAAUUUGAAAGAUGAUAUUGAAUUUAAUAGACGUAUAAGAUAUAGAGAGAAAGAGAGAGAGAGAGAUCUUGUUUAAUUUAUUUAUUUUUCUUUUAUAACCUUACAUAUUAUACCAUUCAUGCUAUAUUUCCUAUCAAAUUAGUAUAGGAAUCAAAUGGGAAAACCGUUUUUUGAGUUAUCAUGGUCAGUUUUAUUUAUUUAGUAAUGAAAUUAUGGCAAAGAGUUAAGGAUAAACAUCACAUUAAAUGCAAAGAUAAAAUAAGCAAAUUAGUCAAUGGAAACAAAGAUAGGGAAACCAAUCUUUGACAAAUCCAACCCUCGUAGCUGAUUAAAUUUCUUGCUGAUUAUGAGAAGAUUCUUACCAUGAAAUGCUACUGUUUCCAAACACAAAGAAAGAACAAAAACUGGGAAAGAUUAUUAAGUAGUUUCCAAGGUAGGUACUUGAGCUGAUAUUGCUGGAAUGAUAAGUACAUCAGAAUCAACCCCAUGGGUCCAAACUGUAAUUGCGACACAUCAAGCUUUGAUGCACCUGACAAAUCGAUUGGGCUCAAAACCAGGAACACCAGGGGGGCCAAAUGGAUCAAAACGUGCACCAGGAGGAACACCCCUGUUUCAAACAAUCCAAUCCAAAAUAAAAUCUCCAGUAUAAUGUAAGCAGAACACACACAAAGAGAGAGAGAGAGAGAGAGAGAGAGCUAACGGUUGUGCUCCAGUGAAACCAGGCUCUCCACCAACUCCACCCAACCAACGAGGAUCAUUUGGUCCUGCCUCCACAUUAUAAGAUAUAAUUAAGUCACAGAACUAUGCAUGCAAUUCACCAACAGUACAAGACAUAUGUUACGAACCUAGAAGCAUGCUACCACCACCAACAUCACCCCUGAAAGCCAUUUAACAAAUAAAAACACACUCAAGUCAAAAACUAAAUCAAACAGUCCACAAUACAACACUGAUUUGGGACUGAAUAUACCUGGUAGGAUACAUUCCAGCACCAGGCCCAGGAACCCGAUCACUGCCACCCAUAGGAUUAACUGGAGGAACAACUAACCUGUAAAGCAAAACUUAUAAUUUUGAUGAGCGCAUGAGCUAUUUGGAAGGAAGAUAAUGGAGAUAUGCGGACAAGUGAUUAGAACCAUACGUGUGGAAAAGUUCAUUGAACUGAAAAAAAAAAAAAAAUCUACCCUCUCAUACUAAAUGUAUGCAUUUUUACUCCUUUUUUUUUCUUCCUUUCUUUCCCUCUCAUAAUACCUUUUUAAAAUUCAGAAGCAUUUAUAAGACAUGUUCAAUCUUAUUUAAAAUAUUAUAUAACAGUUACUAUCAUAGCAAUCACUGAUUGGGAGUUCCAAUAUAAUGCACAAAUAAGUGGUCCUGGAAAGGACUUGAGCCAAAUUACGAAAGUUUCUUUUGAGCCUUGCCUAAAUUGGGAAAUCUUACAUGUAUGUAAGCAUUGUCGAGAGACCACAUAAUUCCUAGAAUUCUAAAACUACAAGUUGGUUAACAGAUAUCAUCUCAGCUUGGUUACCCAUAUGAACAUAAGUUUAACCUCAGUAAUUAAGUUUUGACAAAUAAAUAGGAGACCAAUACAUGAUUGUGAUUUGUUGCAUCAAUCACAAAUGUACCAUAAGUUUCAUAUUUGUAAGGUUAUCAAGUAGAAAACUGCAGUUCACGAAGAGAUAGAAAAAUAUCAAUAAAGACCCAAAUGACCAAACAAACCCCAUUAAUAUCUAAAUAAAAUUAAAAAAAAUUUUAAAAAUUCUAAAUAAAAACACAUUAAUUUAAAAUUAAAAAAAAAUUAAAAAUUCUAAAUAAAAACUUUCUCUUCUCUCUUUUAAAAACACAUUAAUUUUUUAAAAAAUAUAUCUCCCAUUCAAUCAAUAUCCCUCUCUUCUCAUCCUUUUUCUGUAAACCAUCCUUCUCCGACACAAAAUCGUGAUCUCUUUCUUUUCCAUCUCUCUACAAAGAUUACUAGAAAAAAAUUAAAGACUCAGUAACGAAAUAGUAAAAUUUAAUAUUUUUUUAUUUUUAUAAAAAUUAAAAGAAAAAAAUCUAAAAUUUAAAAUUAUAUUCAAAUAUUAUUUAAAGAUUUUAUCUCUUCUUCACUAAAAAAUAUAAUAUUAUUAUUAUUGUACAACUUUGAGAGUUGUUUCAAAUUUUUAUGAAUUUAUUUGAUUUUUAACAUUUGAAAUGUAUAUAAACAAUAAAUACACUUGUUCCGUUUUGAUUUAUUAAGCGAUUGAAGAUAGCAUGAAUACUGUUAUUAUAAAUUUUAAUCAAAAUUAAAACUUAUAUAAUUUAUUUUAUCAAACAACCUACUAAAUAAUUUUAACUUAAUUUUAAAAGUUAUUAUUUUUCGUAAAAACUUCAUAACUUUUAAGUUAAAAAAAUUAAGUUAAACAGGCUCUAAUUUUAUUCUUAGAAGUUGCAAAUUCCAUAGAGAUUACACCACACAGAGUGAAGAAAACAGAUGCUAGAGCAAAAGCAUGAGAUGAUCAAGAACUAUUUUUGCCAUAAAAUCAUCUGGAAAAUGGUUGAUUUGGGACAGCAUUAAUCCGUCCAUCUAUCACCAGAUAGCCAGUUUUUCAUAAAGGCAAUCAGUUUAUCUCUAGGAAGCAGGUGAGUUGGGAACGUCAGGUCGACCAGGCUUGCUCAAGGCAGACCAGGUUCCCAACGUCCCAACCCGGAGUUGCUUUGGGUUUUGAUUAUGAUCCUUGAAUGGACCUCUUUCUUGCAAUUUGUUGGGCUUUUCUAGGUUCUUUGAUGGGCUCUUAUUGGGCUUGGCAAGUGCCAAUCAGAACCUUAAUUUUUUAUUUAACUUCUGUUAACUUCUUUAAUCCUAGAAUUUUUUACAUCUCAAUUUUUAUAUUUUUCUCUUUCCAAAUAUGAAAAAAAUAUUAUUUUUUAUUUUCAGAAAACAUUUAUGUACUUUUCAAAUGGAGCCUAAAAUUUUGUUUCAAAAUAUUGAUUAGGUACAACCCAUUAUUGUGGUAGUUAUUAGUUGUGUAAAUGUGAAUUAAUAUAUAAUAAUUAUAGCAUGAAUUCUUUCACUCAUAACAUACUUUCGAAUAAUUAUAUUUUCAUUCUUAUAUUCUUUGAAUUUACUAAUCAAUAAAAAAGCUAAACUUCACCUACAACCUUUACAGUUUAAACUUUUCUCGCACGAUUCUUUUUAUAAUUAAUAUUCUAUGAAUAACUUUUGUUCCUUUGAGAAAUUAAGUUAUUAAUUUUACCUAAUAAAAUUACAAAAUAUACUAAUUUUGAAUUGAAAAUAUUUAAUAAUUUCUUGUAAGAACAUCAAUGAUAUGAUCAUUAGCUUGAUAGUAUGAAAAUCUAAUCCAACAACUAAAUUUUCCAAAUUAGUUUUAAGUUAGGAUACACUCUAAAUUUGAAAUAUCUUCUUAGAGAUAAUGUAUAAUAGAUUAGUAUUUAAUGCACCGACAAUGUAUAAUUUCUAUACACAGACAGACCAUUGCAUCGAAUAUUUUUCCAUAUAUAAUUAGGGGAAUAAAUUUAUCUACCUUUUGGGGCUACUUGAAUGCUUAUGUUGAUUCAAAAUUCAAAAGAGAAAUUGGGUUCCAAACAUUUAUGAUUCACUUGUUUCAUGUAAAUGAGUAUGUCACCUUUCAUAUUCAAAGCUUAACACAACCAAUAAAUAAACAUAUUCAAAGCUCAACACAACCAAUUUAGGCUUCCUUUCUUAAAUGGGUUUCUUCCCAUUCAAAAAAAUUUGGGUUUUGGAGCCACAAUGCAAAAGAAAAUCCUUGAACAAAAAGAAAGAAAAAAGAAAGUGCUUAUUCCCCCCCUCAAAGGGUUGGGGAUGAAGUCCUUUUGUGUGUGUGUUUUUCCCUCUAAGUGGGUUUCAAAAAUACAUUUGGUAUCAGCUGUUGGGGGGAGCCUAUCCAAAGCAAAGCAAAAUCCUUCAGUUGGAACAACCGCAUUAUGGCCAAAAGAGACCCAAAGCCUUGCAAGGAAAGUUAGGACCAAAGUGGGAUUAUUGGUCAAUUAUGAGAUCUUCACUUCAACUCCAAUGUCAUUUUCCCAAUCACUUUCAUUGUUAGUUAAUAAGAAAAAUGCUUUGAUUUGUCUGUUGCUUUCAUGCCCAUCAAACAUAGAAAUGUGCCUAAAAUUGUUAUACAAAGAGGUUGAAUUCAUCGUAGAAAAUGAUAAUAAGACAAAAAUUAAUCAUUGAUUAAUAUUUUAUUUAUUAAAAAUAAAAUUUAUAUUCAGACUCAUUUUAAACUAAAAAAAAAAAGUAUUUAAAUUUUAUAUAAUCGAAUCGGAUACUAACAAUUGCUUGCCUUUCUUCGUAUUCGAUUUUGAAUGUUGCCCAAGAGACAAAACAUCCCUUUCCCUUAUCCCUUGUGUUCUUCACAAAUUCACAAUGUGGUUGCCAUGAGCCGACCAUUUUUUCCUAGAAAUUUUCAAUUAUUUUUUUAAAAAGAUAAUUCUUUUCUAUUGCUUGUAUAUUAUGAAAUUAUAUAUAUAUAAUAAAAUUAAAAUAAUAUUUAUAAUUCACAUUUAAUUCAAAUAAAACCCAAAAAAGUUAACUCUGUUGGAGUUUCUUUUACUACAAUUCACAUAGUUUUUUUGACCAUUGGAAAAGAAGAUUUGACAAGGUUUGAUUUUUGAGUUUGGAAAAGAAGAUUCCAAUUUUUCACAUUUCGAAUGCCAAGAGGAUUUGCAUGAGUCACAGACCAAAGUGGAGCGUGGCCAUCAUAAAAGUUACCUUCCUUCCUUUAUUCAAAAAAUAAUAAUAAUAAUAUAAUUAAUGUAGAUUACUUACAAUUAAUGCAAUAUUUAUUAAAGUUCAUUAAUUAUUUUAAAAUUAAUUUUAAAUUAAAAUUUUAUUCUAAACUCAAAUUUUUUACAAAUAUUUAUAAUUAAGUUCAAAUACUAUCGAUUUAGAUAAAAUAUAAGUAAAUAAAUUUGAAUCGGGUUUCUCAAAAUUAAUGGAUAUUUAACUGAUUUUUAAUUUUAAAUACGAAAUGACAAAAGGGGUUAAGUAACUUGAAAGAACUGGCAAUGAAGCAAAAUUUGAAAGCUAAAAGCCUAGCGUGACUUAGGAAGUUAAGAAACACAAUGAAGGAUUAAGACUUUAAUAAGAAGGGUUUGGCAUUAUAUGGAUAGAUCCGUCGCCUACACGACUCCCCAUUAACCUUGCUUUAUCAUUCAAACAAAAGCCUAGAGAUUGAUUAUUCACCCUUUUAUCUGUCUGCUUUAAAACACUAGAAUUGCAGCAGAUUAAAUAUAUGAAAGAAGGAAACAGGGGGAGGGAAAAACUGGGGUGGUCUUAAAUAGUUUCAAGAGGUGAAAGGCUCUCUCAAUCAUGUGUUUGAGCAAGCCUCAGUAAUCAUAGCCAGCUUUACUCCACACUUAUAAAGAAGCCAAAGCUUCUCACUUUUUCUCUCACAGAGAGAGAAGAUAAAAAACCCACACCCAAUUUGUUUCUACUUUUUGUUGUUGUUUUUACUUCCAUUUUGCUUGCCCCACUGAAGUAGACAUGGUUGCAACCUUAUGGAUGACGGAGCUUUCACCCACCAAAAGCAAGUAGACUCCACCCAACAACAGCAUUACCAGUUCAAGCUUUGUUUGCCUGUACCAGAGUUAAAAGCUAAAAGCUUUUGGGUUUUGAAAUCUGUUAGAAGCUUGUGCUACAGGGGUUUAGAGUCAAAUGGGUGUUGCUUGAAGAGGUUAGAGUAUAGUGGCAUGAUUGUUAACAACUCUGUUUUUUGUGCUUCGCCUGGUUUUUUUGAAGAAGAGAAAGCUGAGAUGGAGGGUUUGGUUGAGAAAAGCGAGGGAUUUGAAGAUAAAAAUGAAAGCUUUAAUGAAAAUGGGGUUCAAAUGGGGACAUUUGCCAAGUUGCUUGAAGACAAGGGUCGUGAAAGUAGUUCAAGUUCUGAUUUUUUGACAACGGAAACAACAGGGCAUGAGGAGGAACACAGUCACAGUAGUUCUGAGGAGGAGUCGGCUUCACCGCCUUUAUUGGGUUGGCCAGUACAGAAAAAUGCUGAGACAGAAGACUGUAGCAGUAGUAAUUGUAGUGAAGAUGGAAAGAAACCCCCUUCGGAUGAUAGGAAAUUAGAGAAGCAAGGCUCCACAGUUUCAGGUAUUUAUUGACUAUAUGUCUCUGAGUAUAUUUCCCUUGCUUGAAUUAGUUUGUUAACUUGUUUGUUUAAUGGGGUUAUAGAGAUUGAGUUGAUGAAGGAAAGAUUUGCAAAAUUGCUGCUUGGAGAAGAUAUGUCAGGGUGUGGAAAUGGUGUUUGCACAGCCUUGGCUAUUUCAAAUGCCAUCACCAAUCUUUGUGGUAUGUUAACAAUCUUUUUUUGUUUCUUUUUUUUAAUUUUUUUUCUAAGAUAGUUUUUAUCAAUUUGAUUUGUCAAUGUGAGCAUUUGUUUCUAAUUUUUGUUGGUUAAUUUGGUAUUGGCUUUUUGUUUGAUGGUUACUUCUCCUUCACUGCCUUAAUUUUGCAGCAACCUUAUUUGGGCAAAUAUGGAGGUUAGAACCACUACCAGUUGAGAAGAAAGCAAUGUGGCGAAGAGAGAUGGAAUGGCUUCUUUCUGUCAGUGAUCACAUUGUUGAGUUGAUACCCUCGUGGCAGACGUUCCCAGAUGGAAGCAAGCUUGAGGUAAAGCUAUCUAAACUUUUCCCCCUUUCAAAUUGACCAUUAAUCUCUGAAGCAUCCUUGAAUUGCCAGCCAAUACAAGGUGCUAGAAUCAUUUUCUCUUACCAAAAUCUAGAAAUCCAUUGCAAAUACGAUCACAUUUCAAAGCUGCAUUUGAAUGUCCAGAUAUAAAUAAAAUUGCUUGACUAGUUUUAUCAAAAGUGUAUUCCAGAAAUUAGCAAAGUCAGUAACUACUGUGCAGGAUGGAAAACAACCCAGGUUCUGAAAAGUGACAUCAGCAGUUUUUGAAUUUUAGUGAACAAGUUCUACCUAAGUGGUGGAUUUGUGGUUUACAAUGCCAUGUGUAGUUUCUGAAGCAAUUCAAAUGCCUUUAAUGGUGGACUAUUCCCUAAGCACACUUAUUUAAUCAUGAGGAAAAAAGAACUGCUAAAAGAUAAGUUUUACCGGUGCAUGGUGUAAAAUUAUCAAUAUGUUAUUUAAACAAUUCCAUGGUUCGUUGCUGUGAUUUCAGGUCAUGACUUGCAGGCCCCGAUCGGAUCUUUACAUUAAUCUUCCAGCUUUAAGAAAAUUGGACAACAUGCUUCUUGUAAGAUCCAGCAACUCUUAUUAGGAUGUGGAAUGAUUCCGUUAAGAAGUUUAUUCUGAAUAUCACAUCAUUUUUGCAGGAGAUAUUAGAUAGUUUUGUCGAUACAGAGUUCUGGUAUGUUGACCAAGGGAUUCUAGCCCCAGAGGCAGAUGGAUCUACGUCUUUCAGAAAAGCCCUUCAGCGCCAAGAAGAAAAAUGGUGGCUUCCUGUGCCUCGAGUGCCUCCAGGAGGCCUUCAUGAAAAUUCAAGAAAGCAGUUGCAGCAUAAACGUGACUGCACAAACCAGAUCCUAAAAGCUGCCAUGGCUAUCAACAGUAUUACUCUAGCUGACAUGGAAGUUCCUGAAUCAUAUUUAGAAUCCCUUCCCAAGGUAAAAGAACGUAAAUGUAUAUUUGGCGUUAUAUGUUCUAGAAAGUGUUGGUCAUUAAAUAUUUGCCACAAAUUUAUAUCAGAAUGGCCGAGCAAGCUUGGGAGAUCUCAUUUAUCGAUAUAUUUCAUCGGAUCUGUUCACACCUGAAUGUCUUCUUGAUUGCCUCGAUUUGUCCUCUGAGCAUCAAGCUAUAGAGAUUGCCAACCGAGUGGAGGCUUCAAUAUAUUUAUGGCGCAAAAAGACCAACUCCAAACCUGUCAACAACACAACCCGCUCCAGUUCAAAGUCAUCAUGGGAAAUGGUCAAGGACCUAAUGGUUGAUGCUGAAAAGAGAGAAAUACUUGCAGAUCGCGCAGAAAGUCUCUUGCUUUGCUUGAAGCAGCGGUUCCCUGGUCUUCCCCAGACCACAUUAGAUAUGAGCAAAAUUCAGUACAACAAGGUUUGUGUCACAUAUUCCAAUUUGAGAGUGGUUAUUAAAAAUGCCUUUAAUUACAAAAAUCCUGCUAAUAAAUGAAAAUUACGAUGUUAUUUAGGAUGUUGGGAAAUCCAUUUUGGAAAGCUAUUCGAGAGUUUUGGAGAGCCUGGCAUUUAACAUUGUGGCACGUAUUGAUGAUCUGCUCUACGUUGAUGACUUGACCAAGCAUUCAGAUCAAUUCUCUUCAUUGACCAGAGUUGGUGUAAUCGGUCAGAAGAGUCUUUCAAUUCCAUACUCUGUGCCCUUCUCAAGCACUCCUUAUAGAACAGCAUUUACCACCCCAAACUUUUCACCAGCACAGCUAGUUAGCCCUGCGAAGGGAGAAAGAUCGCCGUAUCUCACAAGCAGCAAAUUUCAACAGCGUGGGAUAGGUGUGAAAAAAGUCUUGACAGAUUAUCUUAGUAUUGAUGUAAGAGGGAAGGAAUGCAGUAAUUCAAAUGAAGGAACAGAAUCAGGUUCAGACAUAGCUCAAGAAACACCAGUACCUUUUGAAAAAUGUCUAAAGGAGGCGGUCGGCCUAGCAAAAGAGGAGCCAGUUCCACAGAAAGAGCCCUGAUGUUGCAAAUCAUGAACCAAUUUCCUGUUAUUCAGCUGACUCUUUUUUUUAACUUUUACUUUUGGGUAGAGAUAGGAAGGUGCUUGAGAAUGGCGAACAUUCACCCUAUCAUUCAAAUUGUAUUGCAACCAGAUGUCUAUAAUGAUAAUGAGUUGAGUAAUUCAUACUUCUCAGGGCAUCAUUUACUGUCUCAAAGAUGUUCCUGGCAGAACACUUUGCGGAUAAAAAGUAGGAUAGAAACACCAAAUCCCUGUUUACUUCUCUAUGCAAACUUCAGAAAGACACUUCAACUUGGAUAUCAAUGUCUAGUUCAUCUACUACUUUUAAAAACUACAUUUGCUCAAAAGCCCAUUCAUCUUAAUAUUUAGCAGACUUGGGGGUGUUCUUGGGCUCAAGGGGUUCGUCUUACAGAUUAUUUUUCUAGUUUCUCAUCGUUCAAAUGAGCCCCAAGGCCCCCGGGUACCUUUGAGGUUUCUGCAUGCAGGUAAAUCUCCUAGUUGCAGGAUGACAGAAGAAAGGAAAAUAGAAACACCCAAACCCACUGCUAUGAACAAUCUGGACAGCCAGGGGGCUUUGAACCACUGAAAUAUCAUAUACUUGUAUGGCAUUUUUAGUAACCUCUCCUCUAUACAAAACCAAUAACCUCCCUCAACUAUUUAGUAACUUUUCAAGUUCUUCGUCAAUAACCUUCUAUGUAAAAUUACCAUGAUAACAAUUGAGACAUAUAGCAACAGCUUUCACAAAUGUGUUUUUUUGCUUGCAAUGCUCAUCUAUUAUUAAAUGACACCCAACAAGUACUUUUCAAUCAAAAUAAGGAUAAAUAAAGAUUAACCAAUGUUGAUAUUGAUAGGAUUGAAAUCCCCCAAUUUGCUUGAUGGGGUGUAUCAGCAGAUACGCCUUCCUAGUAACCAACAAAGAUGGGGUAGUUGAUUGCUUGUAAGCUGAUUACACGUUUCCCACAAAAAGGCAGUUUGAUUGGACACAAGAACUCUGUUCCGUUGUAGUUGGCAAUGCAGUUCCAGAAAAUAGCGCCCUGAAGUGGCUAAAUGGUGUGCUCUUCGAGGUUGUGCACUGUUGUUGAGAUGAUUACAGAUGUCGGAACUACACAAAGGGAUACGAUGAUUUUACUGCAUGCACCUAACUUUGAUUGGACUUAACAAGAACUUGAUAACGCUCGCACAUUUUUCUUAAAGCAAAGUGCCACAAUAAUAAAAUUCUCUUCUUCCUAGUGCCAGCUCCAUUACCAUUAGUGGGCUGGAGGUGCAAUUCUUUUUUAGCUCAAAGUUAUAGUAUAAAAACCCACUCAGACGAGGGGUUUGCUGCAAGAAGGAUUGUUGCAUUGGUGAGAUGAGAGAAAUGGCAGCUGCAUUGAAAUUGGUCUGUCUUCUGGGAUUGAUUGUGCUUGUCAGCAUUGUGGGGCUAGAAAGGGUUGAUGCAGCAGGGGAAUGUGGGAAAUCAUCUCCUGAUAACGAGGCAUUGAAGCUAGCCCCCUGUGCUGAAGCAGCACAAGACCAGAACGCUGCUGUCUCGGCCAGUUGCUGCGACCAGGUGAGGAAAAUAGGCCAAAGCCCAAGCUGUCUCUGUGCCGUUAUGCUCUCUAACACUGCUAAAGCAUCCGGAAUCAAGCCUGAGAUUGCCAUAACAAUCCCAAAACGCUGCAACAUAGCAAACCGUCCAGUCGGUUACAAGUGUGGACGUAAGUCAUGAUUUCAUUACUCCAUCUUUGCUUUAAAAUUUUGUUCUUUUCCCAUUAACAUCAUCGCUUCUAUCCUAGCAUAUAUCAUAACUGCUUGUUUUGCAGCAUAUACACUUCCUUGAAGGGAAAAUUUGUGGACUCAAGACUGCUUGCUGGAGCUCACUUGUUCUAGUGGUGACUAUGUAGCUUAAGCUUGCCCUCUGUACGAAUAAAUGCUUGCAGCUUGUUUAUAUCUACCUUAAACAAUAAUACGAAUUGAAAUUUUCUUCUUUUUUAUUAGCUUUUGCUUGCAUUACCCUUUGAAUCUCAGUUCAGAAACCAACAGAGAAGCAACAAAACUGAUUCCAAAGGCAUGAUUAGUUUGCCAUUGGAGACGGGCAUUGAUCAUGAAACAUCAGAAUCAUCAAAAAUCCUAAUAAACUUUGAUAAACAUGUGGUUGCAGAAUAUUUGUCCUGACCCAAUGUAAGUCUUCUUUAACGACCAGAACUUUCUUAAACGACCAUUUUAAAGCAUUUGUCCCACCAACUGAUAGGAUAGAGGCUGCCUUAAUCUGUGGGUCGCAAUUUUGGAAGGGAAUAACCUAGACUAAAGAGUAGACAUCUUUUCGGGUCAGAUAGGGAAUAGACAGGACAGUUCGGAGACAAAACUGUGGAAUUUUUGCAAGAUAAUUGUGGUAGCUGGGCCACACCCAAUUGAAGGUUGCUUUAACUGUUUAUGGUUCGUGGCAUCCUUUUAGGCAAUCUUGGUCAUGAGCUGGCAAAGAGGAGCUUUCAGGUAUCUCAAAGGACAAAGAAAACUUGACAAGGACAAAACGAAUAUGUUCUGUCAGAUUCAUUUUUUUGACCUAUUUAUAGCUACAUAAAGGUUAGAGUUUUCCAAUUUGGUAUUAAACAAAUAAUCAUUCAAACCUCCUGGUGAAAACUUGGUUUUAUUUUAUGUUCUUGGCAUUGCAAAUCAAGAGACAAAAGCAGCUAAUCUAAGCAGAGGAAAAUUUUUCCUUAAAUCUUCCUUUCAUGGGAGUUCCAUGUCACGGACAAGAGACAAGAUAAUCAUUAUCCAACAAAGUGAUUAACAUUCAAUAAGAGGGAAAAGAGACAUGGAGGAAGCUUUUACUUUAUCAUGAAGCAUCCCAUAGUCACAAGUUUUCUUCCAAAUUCAAAAUUAGGUAAAACAGCAACCAAAAAUCUCAUAAUAAUCAAAUUCAAUCCUCUUGUUAUAGGCAAAAUGAUGACAUAAAGCACAGUUCAGCCAUCAAUAACAGAUAGUCUAGCAGAAGUUUGUAAUUCAUCAUAAUAUAUCAAAGUCACUUAAGCAGAUAUCCUUUACAGAAAAAAAGAGCAAGUCUCAUCACAUCCUUUUACAGUGAAGAAGGGAGACCACAUAACUAUAUUUGCUUGGCUGGAGAAACAAAUAACGGCCAGCUGUCUGCAGCGUCUGACUACUAUAACUACCUCCCACAUAACAAGAGAUAGAUUAAACUGCUAUGUAUCUUCCUAUGUACCUGUUAAGGAUAAAGUCAAGAAAACGAUGCAAAGAUAAAAAGGGGAUAUCAUGAGUCAUACAUAAGUAACUCACACGCCACUUAUACUUAUUUUCUGUUUUUUGCCCGUGUAUCUUGGCUUCUUGUAGGGGUGAAAGAGAGAAGGAGAGUCGUAGGAUGGGAUAUUAAUUGAUUGAUCAAACAUAAGAAAAAUAAAAAAAGGAAAGCAGCUUGAGCAUGGAGUCCAUUCAUUGCAUUGGUUAGAUCAUAGAAUUCACGACAAAACUAUAUUAUUUGAUCAUCUAGAAACAGAGUUUUAGACCCUAAAUUACUUUACUUUUACAGGUAUAUCUGAAAAUUUGAUUCUAGCAAUCAAGUAAUUGGCCAAAAAACUUCAAACUGGACCAAGGUGACAAAAUACCGUUAAAGAUCAGUUCACUAGUAGUAAUGGAAGAUAAAUCCAAGCUAGGUCUAACACUCCGGGCGACUGAUACUCAAAGAGAACUUGUGAAGGUUUUGUUCAGAUCUUAAAGAUCUUGGCAAUUAAGUUAUUAUUAGCAAAGAAUAACAGAUUUAAUGCAGAACCAAGAAGAAGAUCCAUAUAAUUCCAGUGAACAUCUGACUAAAGGUACCUUAAUAAGUAUGCUGAUUAGCAAGUGAACUUUUAGUAAUAGAGAGACCC